ensembl:snoRNA
GCAGACUCACUCUGUGCUUGACUGCAAUAAACAGUCAUGGUGCUUUUUCCGUCUGCUAGAAUAAUAAUCCAGGAUGUUGUGAACACUUCUCUACUUAUGGAAGUCUGUUUCAAUUGAUCUUGGUACAUCAGA